UGAUCCUGGCUCAGGACGAACGCUGGCGGCGUGCUUAACACAUGCAAGUCGAACGGAAAGGCCUAAGCUUGCUUGGGUACUCGAGUGGCGAACGGGUGAGUAACACGUGAGUGAUCUGCCCUCAACUUCGGGAUAAGCCUGGGAAACUGGGUCUAAUACUGGAUAGGACCAUCCUUUAGUGUGUGAUGGUGGAAAGUUUUUUCGGUUGGGGAUGAGCUCGCGGCCUAUCAGCUUGUUGGUGGGGUAAUGGCCUACCAAGGCGUCGACGGGUAGCCGGCCUGAGAGGGUGUACGGCCACAUUGGGACUGAGACACGGCCCAGACUCCUACGGGAGGCAGCAGUGGGGAAUAUUGCACAAUGGGCGCAAGCCUGAUGCAGCGACGCCGCGUGAGGGAUGACGGCCUUCGGGUUGUAAACCUCUUUCGACAGGGACGAAGCUUUUGUGACGGUACCUGUAUAAGAAGCACCGGCUAACUACGUGCCAGCAGCCGCGGUAAUACGUAGGGUGCGAGCGUUGUCCGGAAUUACUGGGCGUAAAGAGCUCGUAGGUGGUUUGUCGCGUCGUCUGUGAAAUUCCGGGGCUUAACUCCGGGCGUGCAGGCGAUACGGGCAUAACUUGAGUGCUGUAGGGGAGACUGGAAUUCCUGGUGUAGCGGUGAAAUGCGCAGAUAUCAGGAGGAACACCGAUGGCGAAGGCAGGUCUCUGGGCAGUAACUGACGCUGAGGAGCGAAAGCAUGGGGAGCGAACAGGAUUAGAUACCCUGGUAGUCCAUGCCGUAAACGUUGGGCACUAGGUGUGGGGGACAUUCCACGUUUUCCGCGCCGUAGCUAACGCAUUAAGUGCCCCGCCUGGGGAGUACGGCCGCAAGGCUA
rnacentral:rRNA from 1 species